rnacentral:rRNA from 1 species
UCUCUCCUACGGGGCGCAGCAGUGAGGAAUAUUGGUCAAUGGCCGCAGGGCUGAACCAGCCACGUCGCGUGAGGGAUGGCGGUCCUAUGGAUUGUAAACCUCUUUUGUCAGGGAGCAAAGGGCGCCACGUGUGGCGUUUUGCGAGUACCUGAAGAAAAAGCAUCGGCUAACUCCGUGCCAGCAGCCGCGGUAAUACGGAGGAUGCGAGCGUUAUCCGGAUUUAUUGGGUUUAAAGGGUGCGCAGGCGGAAUGUCAAGUCAGCGGUAAAAUUUCGGGGCUCAACCCCGGCGUGCCGUUGCAACUGG